GCAGCUGAUGUUAUAUCAGGAGAGUUGAUAUUUUCAUAAAUUGACUAUGUAGUUUUAAAUGUUCCCAUAUGAUGAACUGUAAUAAUAUUAGUUUUAUGGUAUAAGUAUUUAUUAUAUAUAAAUAAAGAUAAAUGAUUUGUAAAUGUAUAUUAUUUGCAUAUGUACCGCAAGUGGUGUGACAUGCAAAAUAGGUACAGCAAAUGGUGUGAUUUGCAAAAUAGGUACAGCAAGUGGUGUGACUUGCAAAAUAGGUACAGCAAGUGGUGUGACUUGCAAAAUAGGUACCGCAAGUGGUGUGACUUGCAAAAUAGGUACAGCAAGUGGUGUGACUUGCAAAAUAGGUACAGCAAGUGGUGUGACUUGCAAAAUAGGUACAGCAAGUGGUGUGACUUGCAAAAAGGUACCUGCAAGUGGUGUGACUUGCAAAUUAGGUGCUGCAGGUGGUGUGACUUGCAAAAAGGCACUAAGUCCUUCCAGGUUAGCCUGCACAUGUCAACUUUUUUAUUCCUUAGUUAGUUUUCACAUGUAUUACACUGUUUAAAAAGUUGUUUGAGUAAAUAUAGAAUAGAUUUUUUUUGAAAUGAAAUUUAGUGUAUAGUCCUUCACAUUACAAAAUGUUUUAAUUUUUUAAAGUAUUUAUACAAAAUAUUGGACUUUUUUUUUUUUUAAAAGGUUUUUUAUUAACAAAAAAAUAAAAAUAAUGUGAAAAUUUAAAGAACCAAAAGUAGAAAGUGACGUGUCAUGCUGAUUUGGCAUGGAAUGACUAAACUGCAAGUGGUUUAACAUUUUUUUGAUAGACGGCUCUGGCUUACGUUCUCGUCGUGUCUAUCGUUAACAAUGAUUAUUAUUAAAUUUCAUUAUUGAAAUUUAAAUUUUUAAUCAUUUACUAAAAGCCAAGACAAAUUAAUUACGUUUUUUUUUCAAAACAAUAUUGAGUUUUUCUUUUUCUUUUAGAUUAAAGUGGGAGGUGGUUACAAUGCUCCAUUUACUAAAAAUAUGGAUACUUUGAUGCAUCUUGUAAUAUAAUUGGAGAGGCGGGGAGGGGGUGAUGAUCUUGCUACCAGAUCAUUUGGCAAUGAUCUGGUAGCAAGUUAUAACAAUUUCUUGUAUAUAAAAAUUACAAAUUUCAUUAAAA